GCUCACAUCACUCAAUACACUGGAACUCAUCUGAUCUCAAAAGCUAAGAAAGGAUGGGCCUCGUUAAAACUUGCAGGGGAAACCGUAAAAGAUUUGAAGAGAAUUCGCC
rnacentral:rRNA from 1 species